rnacentral:rRNA from 1 species
GACGAAGGGGGCUAGCGUUGUUCGGAAUUACUGGGCGUAAAGCGAGUGUAGGUGGUUUUCCAAGUUGGAUGUGAAAGCCUUGAGCUCAACUCAAGAAAUGCAUUCAGGACUGGGAGACUAGAGGACCGGAGAGGAUAGUGGAAUUCCCAGUGUAGUGGUGAAAUACGUAGAGAUUGGGAAGAACACCAGUGGCGAAGGCGGCUUCCUGGCCGAGUACUGACGCUGAGGAGCGAAAGCCAGGGGAGCAAACGGG